AUGCCUUAAACUUAUGAGUAAGGAAAAUAAUGACUCUGGGUGAUGCCCAAAUUCUUACUGCUAAUGUGAGAUAAAUUUUUGAGUGGGUUAGGUUGACCCUAAGGUGACCAGCAUGAUGCCUGGGAGUUGCAAUCUGCCCG
rnacentral:snRNA from 1 species